CUCUGUGACUCCUACGGGAGGCAGCAGUGGGGAAUAUUGCACAAUGGGCGCAAGCCUGAUGCAGCAACGCCGUGUGAGUGAAGAAGGUUUUCGGAUCGUAAAACUCUGUCCUAAGGGAAGAACAAAUGACGGUACCUUAGGAGGAAGCCCCGGCUAACUACGUGCCAGCAGCCGCGGUAAUACGUAGGGGGCAAGCGUUAUCCGGAAUCACUGGGCGUAAAGGGUGCGUAGGCGGCUUGACAAGCCAGGGGUGAAAGGCAUUGGCUCAACCAAUGUAAGCCUUUGGAACUGUUAAGCUUGAGUGCAGGAGAGGUAAGUGGAAUUCCUAGUGUAGAGGUGAAAUUCGUAGAUAUUAGGAGGAACACCAGUGGCGAAGGCGACUUACUGGACUGUAACUGACGCUGAUGCACGAAAGCGUGGGUAGCGAACAGGAUUAGAUACCCUGGUAG
rnacentral:rRNA from 1 species